CGUCGAGGAAUUGGCAGAGAAUAUGUGAGCCUCCAAGCCGUGCUGCCGCACCUGGACCGGCAGAUCCGAACCGCAAGUCUAUCGGCCUCGUUUAUUAAUUAUCCCGUGGACCGCCCGAAAACAUACACACGCCAAUGAAGAACAUGUCCAGCACGUCCGGAAGGUUGUCGGAUGACUUUUCGAGAACAACCUUUAUGCCAAGCCAGAGAAGUAUGAGCUCCAUAAAGAGAAGAUGUCGUUAUCAUUCUCACCCCUUCCAGUGUUCAAGUGGACGCAUGUAAGGUUCAGACAGUCACAGAGUGCCCCAGACCAUCUGUUGUCAAAGAGGGGCAUUGGUUUCCAUACCAGGCCAUGAUGCAACCAGUCAAUUUAUUCUCCACUACACAUCUACAGAAAUUUGUCAAAAUUUUAGAUGACAUGCUGAAUCUUUGCAAAGUUCUAAGAAAGUAAAGGUGCUGCUGUGCUUUCUUCAUAAUGGCACUUACAUGCUGGGCCCAGGGCAGAUAACACAGAGGAAUUUAAGUUGCUGACCUCUCUAUCUCUGAUCCGCUGAUGAGGACUGGCUCAGAAACCUUCAGUUUCCUUCUCCCGAAGUCAAUAAUCAGCUCCUUGGUCUUACUGACAUUGAGAGAGAGGUUGUUGUUUUGGCACCACUCAGCCAGAUUUUCAUUCUUCCUGCUGAUUCAUCACCGCCUUUGAUUCAGCCAGUGUCAGCAAAUUUAAAUAUGGCAUUGCAGCUGUGUUUAGUCUCACAGUUAUAAGUAUAAAGCAAGCAGAGCAGGGGACUAAGCACAUAGCCUUGUGGUGUGCCUGCGUUGAUGGAGAUUGUGGAGGAGUCAACUUUGUCAGGCAAUGAAUCUUUGCUUCUUGGUAAUGUUCACUUCAUAAAAUAUGAAAGCAUGGUUCAAGAGUUACUACCUGCAACAGGACCAGAAACAGAUAUGAAGGGGGAGUCAAUAUUUUGAGCAAUUUUUAAAAGAGAAGGAUAUCCCACUCACCCAUAUUCCUGCUUGCGCAACAGAUGGGGCACCAUCAGUGACAUGGCGCCACCUUUGGGUUAUUACUUUCUUUAAAAAAGCUGAGUAAUUCAUACACAACAUCUUGUUGCGAGAGAAAACCUAAAUGAUCAACUCACAAACCAUGGAAGAGAAAGGAGGAAUACCAGAUGAUGAUCCUCCUAGUUUACUGUGCCCACCUGGGAGAGCUGCAUAAUGACAUGUCAGAGAGAUAUCAGGUCUUCUCUCGAUCCAAAUUCCAUAUUGAAUAAAUA